rnacentral:rRNA from 1 species
GACGAACGCUGGCGGCGUGCUUAACACAUGCAAGUCGAACGGAAAGGCCCCUUUGGGGGUACUCGAGUGGCGAACGGGUGCGUAACACGUGAGUAACCUGCCCUUGACUUCGGGAUAACUUCAGGAAACUGGGGCUAAUACCGGAUAGGAAUCCUUGCUGCAUGGUGGGGGUUGGAAAGCUUCGGCGGUUUUGGAUGGACUCGCGGCUUAUCAGCUUGUUGGUGGGGUAGUGGCUUACCAAGGCUUUGACGGGUAGCCGGCCUGAGAGGGCGACCGGCCACAUUGGGACUGAGAUACGGCCCAGACUCCUACGGGAGGCAGCAGUGGGGAAUAUUGCACGAUGGGCGGAAGCCGGAUGCAGCAACGCCGCGUGCGGGAUGACGGCCUUCGGGUUGUAAACCGAUUUCAGCAGGGGCGAAGCUUGUGGUGACGGUACCUGCAGAAGAAGCACCGGCUAACUACGUG